UACGGAGGGUGCGAGCGUUAAUCGGAAUUACUGGGCGUAAAGGGUGCGUAGGUGGUUAUAUAAGUUAGGUGUAAAAGCCCUGGGCUUAACCUGGGAAGGAGACUUAAUACUGUAUAACUAGAGUAUAGGAGAGGGUAGUGGAAUUUCCGGUGUAGCGGUGAAAUGCGUAGAGAUCGGAAGGAACACCAGUGGCGAAGGCGGCUACCUGGCCAGAUACUGACACUGAGGCACGAAAGCGUGGGGAGCAAACAGGAUUAGAUACCCGAGUAGU
rnacentral:rRNA from 1 species